GAUGAACGCUAGCUACAGGCUUAACACAUGCAAGUCGAGGGGCAGCAUGGUCUUAGCUUGCUAAGGCCGAUGGCGACCGGCGCACGGGUGGGUAACACGUAUCCAACCUGCCGUCUACUCUUGGACAGCCUUCUGAAAGGAAGAUUAAUACAAGAUGGCAUCAUGAGUCCGCAUGUUCACAUGAUUAAAGGUAUUCCGGUAGACGAUGGGGAUGCGUUCCAUUAGAUAGUAGGCGGGGUAACGGCCCACCUAGUCUUCGAUGGAUAGGGGUUCUGAGAGGAAGGUCCCCCACAUUGGAACUGAGACACGGUCCAAACUCCUACGGGAGGCAGCAGUGAGGAAUAUUGGUCAAUGGGCGCAGGCCUGAACCAGCCAAGUAGCGUGAAGGAUGACUGCCCUAUGGGUUGUAAACUUCUUUUAUAAAGGAAUAAAGUCGGGUAUGGAUACCCGUUUGCAUGUACUUUAUGAAUAAGGAUCGGCUAACUCCGUG
rnacentral:rRNA from 1 species